rnacentral:rRNA from 1 species
AACAAACGCUGGCGGCGUGCCUAAUACAUGCAAGUCGAACGGGGUAGCAAUACCUAGUGGCGCACGGGUGAGUAAUACAUGGGUAAUCUGCCUCAAAGUUGGGGAUAACCUUCGGCAAGGAAGGCUAAUACCGAAUAAGACCACAUGAUCUGCGGAUCAAGAGGUCAAAGGUUUUUCGCUUUGAGAUGAGCCCAUGCGGGAUUAGCUAGUUGGUGAGGUAAUGGCUCACCAAGGCAACGAUCCCUAGCUGGUCUGAGAGGAUGAUCCGCCACACUGAAACUGAGACACGGGCCAGACUCCUAAGGGAGGCAGCAGUAGGGAAUAUUGCGCAGUGGGGGAAACCCUGACGCAGCGACGCCGCGGGAGUGGUGAAGGCCUUCGGGUCGUAAAGCUCUGUCGUAUGGGAAUAAUAAACUGAAUGUACCAUACAAGAAAGGAUCGGCUAACUUCGUGCCAGCCGCCGCGGUAA